rnacentral:lncRNA from 1 species
CCCAAGGAGGAGCGAAGAGCGGAAGGGGGGGGGGGGGUCGAGGAGGCCCAGUCUCAUAAAGGCGGACCGACCCGCGCUGCCCGCCAGACCCCGCCGCUAGGAUCCCCUGAGCUGAGGCUGCCCUACGUGACCUCUCCGUCCCCCUCCCCCCGCUUCACCGCUGAGUUGAGGCGCGCCCUCACCGAGGACGUCCAGACCCUCACCGAGCCGCGUGGCCCCCUGAACCCAGGCCCGCUCGCCAUGGCCCUGCUCCUGGCCCUCUUCCUGGCGCUCCAGGCAGGUGCUCACGCGGAGCUCCCGGGCUGCAAGAGCCGCAUCACCUCCAAGGCGCUGGAGCUGGUGAAGCAGGAGGGGCUGCGCUUUCUGGAGCAAGAGCUGGAGACCAUCAUCAUCCCAGAUCUGCAGGGCCGAAAGGGCCACUUCUCCUACAACAUCUCGGAGUAAGUAGGGCGCGGGGGCGGGGGCCACGGCGUGGGGGCGGGGCUUCAAAGGUGGG